rnacentral:rRNA from 1 species
GUGUCAGCCGCCGCGGUAAUACGAAGGGGGCUAGCGUUGUUCGGAAUCACUGGGCGUAAAGCGCACGUAGGCGGAUUGUUAAGUCGGGGGUGAAAUCCUGAGGCUCAACCUCAGAACUGCCUUCGAUACUGGCAAUCUCGAGUCCGGAAGAGGUUGGUGGAACAGCUAGUGUAGAGGUGAAAUUCGUAGAUAUUAGCUAGAACACCAGUGGCGAAGGCGGCCAACUGGUCCGGUACUGACGCUGAGGUGCGAAAGCGUGGGGAGCAAACAGGAUUAGAAACCCCUGUAGUCC